rnacentral:rRNA from 1 species
ACUAAGCGUACACGGUGGAUGCCCUGGCAGUCAGAGGCGAUGAAGGACGUGCUAAUCUGCGAUAAGCGUCGGUAAGGUGAUAUGAACCGUUAUAACCGGCGAUUUCCGAAUGGGGAAACCCAGUGUGAUUCGUCACACUAUCAUUAACUGAAUCCAUAGGUUAAUGAGGCGAACCGGGGGAACUGAAACAUCUAAGUACCCCGAGGAAAAGAAAUCAACCGAGAUUCCCCCAGUAGCGGCGAGCGAACGGGGAGCAGCCCAGAGCCUGAAUCAGUGUGUGUGUUAGUGGAAGCGUCUGGAAAGGCGUGCGAUACAGGGUGACAGCCCCGUACACAAAAAUGCACAUGCUGUGAGCUCGAUGAGUAGGGCGGGACACGUGGUAUCCUGUCUGAAUAUGGGGGGACCAUCCUCCAAGGCUAAAUACUCCUGACUGACCGAUAGUGAACCAGUACCGUGAGGGAAAGGCGAAAAGAACCCCGGCGAGGGGAGUGAAAAAGAACCUGAAACCGUGUACGUACAAGCAGUGGGAGCACGCUUAGGCGUGUGACUGCGUACCUUUUGUAUAAUGGGUCAGCGACUUAUAUUCUGUAGCAAGGUUAACCGAAUAGGGGAGCCGAAGGGAAACCGAGUCUUAACUGGGCGUUAAGUUGCAGGGUAUAGACCCGAAACCCGGUGAUCUAGCCAUGGGCAGGUUGAAGGUUGGGUAACACUAACUGGAGGACCGAACCGACUAAUGUUGAAAAAUUAGCGGAUGACUUGUGGCUGGGGGUGAAAGGCCAAUCAAACCGGGAGAUAGCUGGUUCUCCCCGAAAGCUAUUUAGGUAGCGCCUCGUGAAUUCAUCUCCGGGGGUAGAGCACUGUUUCGGCAAGGGGGUCAUCCCGACUUACCAACCCGAUGCAAACUGCGAAUACCGGAGAAUGUUAUCACGGGAGACACACGGCGGGUGCUAACGUCCGUCGUGAAGAGGGAAACAACCCAGACCGCCAGCUAAGGUCCCAAAGUCAUGGUUAAGUGGGAAACGAUGUGGGAAGGCCCAGACAGCCAGGAUGUUGGCUUAGAAGCAGCCAUCAUUUAAAGAAAGCGUAAUAGCUCACUGGUCGAGUCGGCCUGCGCGGAAGAUGUAACGGGGCUAAACCAUGCACCGAAGCUGCGGCAGCGACGCUGAUGCGUUGUUGGGUAGGGGAGCGUUCUGUAAGCCUGCGAAGGUGUGCUGUGAGGCAUGCUGGAGGUAUCAGAAGUGCGAAUGCUGACAUAAGUAACGAUAAAGCGGGUGAAAAGCCCGCUCGCCGGAAGACCAAGGGUUCCUGUCCAACGUUAAUCGGGGCAGGGUGAGUCGACCCCUAAGGCGAGGCCGAAAGGCGUAGUCGAUGGGAAACAGGUUAAUAUUCCUGUACUUGGUGUUACUGCGAAGGGGGACGGAGAAGGCUAUGUUGGCCGGGCGACGGUUGUCCCGGUUUAAGCGUGUAGGCUGGUUUUCCAGGCAAAUCCGGAAAAUCAAGGCUGAGGCGUGAUGACGAGGCACUACGGUGCUGAAGCAACAAAUGCCCUGCUUCCAGGAAAAGCCUCUAAGCAUCAGGUAACAUCAAAUCGUACCCCAAACCGACACAGGUGGUCAGGUAGAGAAUACCAAGGCGCUUGAGAGAACUCGGGUGAAGGAACUAGGCAAAAUGGUGCCGUAACUUCGGGAGAAGGCACGCUGAUAUGUAGGUGAAGCGACUUGCUCGUGGAGCUGAAAUCAGUCGAAGAUACCAGCUGGCUGCAACUGUUUAUUAAAAACACAGCACUGUGCAAACACGAAAGUGGACGUAUACGGUGUGACGCCUGCCCGGUGCCGGAAGGUUAAUUGAUGGGGUCAGCGCAAGCGAAGCUCUUGAUCGAAGCCCCGGUAAACGGCGGCCGUAACUAUAACGGUCCUAAGGUAGCGAAAUUCCUUGUCGGGUAAGUUCCGACCUGCACGAAUGGCGUAAUGAUGGCCAGGCUGUCUCCACCCGAGACUCAGUGAAAUUGAACUCGCUGUGAAGAUGCAGUGUACCCGCGGCAAGACGGAAAGACCCCGUGAACCUUUACUAUAGCUUGACACUGAACAUUGAGCCUUGAUGUGUAGGAUAGGUGGGAGGCUUUGAAGUGUGGACGCCAGUCUGCAUGGAGCCGACCUUGAAAUACCACCCUUUAAUGUUUGAUGUUCUAACGUGGACCCGUGAUCCGGGUUGCGGACAGUGUCUGGUGGGUAGUUUGACUGGGGCGGUCUCCUCCUAAAGAGUAACGGAGGAGCACGAAGGUUGGCUAAUCCUGGUCGGACAUCAGGAGGUUAGUGCAAUGGCAUAAGCCAGCUUGACUGCGAGCGUGACGGCGCGAGCAGGUGCGAAAGCAGGUCAUAGUGAUCCGGUGGUUCUGAAUGGAAGGGCCAUCGCUCAACGGAUAAAAGGUACUCCGGGGAUAACAGGCUGAUACCGCCCAAGAGUUCAUAUCGACGGCGGUGUUUGGCACCUCGAUGUCGGCUCAUCACAUCCUGGGGCUGAAGUAGGUCCCAAGGGUAUGGCUGUUCGCCAUUUAAAGUGGUACGCGAGCUGGGUUUAGAACGUCGUGAGACAGUUCGGUCCCUAUCUGCCGUGGGCGCUGGAGAACUGAGGGGGGCUGCUCCUAGUACGAGAGGACCGGAGUGGACGCAUCACUGGUGUUCGGGUUGUCAUGCCAAUGGCACUGCCCGGUAGCUAAAUGCGGAAGAGAUAAGUGCUGAAAGCAUCUAAGCACGAAACUUGCCCCGAGAUGAGUUCUCCCUGACUCCUUGAGAGUCCUGAAGGAACGUUGAAGACGACGACGUUGAUAGGCCGGGUGUGUAAGCGCAGCGAUGCGUUGAGCUAACCGGUACUAAUGAACCGUGAGGCUUAACC